rnacentral:rRNA from 1 species
GAUGAACGCUGGCGGCGUGCCUAAUACAUGCAAGUCGAGCGAACGGACGAGAAGCUUGCUUCUCUGAUGUUAGCGGCGGACGGGUGAGUAACACGUGGAUAACCUACCUAUAAGACUGGGAUAACUUCGGGAAACCGGAGCUAAUACCGUAUGAUAUUUUGAACCGCAUGGUUCAAAAGUGAAAGACGGUCUUGUUGUCAUUUAUAGAUGGAUCCGCGCUGCAUUAGCUGGUUGGUAAGGUAACGGCUUACCAAGGGACCGAUGCAUAGCCGACCUGAGCGGGUGAUCGGCCACACUGGAACUGAGCCACGGUCCAGACUCCUACGGGAGGCAGCAGUAGGGAAUCUUCCGCAAUGGGCGAAAGCCUGACGGAGCAACGCCGCGUGAGUGAUGAAGGUCUUCGGAUCGUAAAACUCUGUUAUUAGGGAAGAACAUAUGUGUAAGUAACUGUGCACAUCUUGACGGUACCUAAUCAGAAAGCCACGGCUAACUACGUG